CGGGCUCAAACUGGAGGAAAGUCAGCCACUUUGCUUGCAACAGCACAGUCAUUCUCGAUAACUCCUUUACCCCCUUGCACCUUUCCCCCCUCUGCAGCCUGUGACCCCUCACGCGGUGAUCUAGGAAAGCAGCACUGCAAGAGCACCACUGGACUCUGGCUAUUCGAAUGGCCUUCUGGAGCCAUAGGGCAGCUGAGGCACAACCUAGAGCUGUCCCAAAGCUGUCAGGGACUGAAGCAGAGUUAUGCUACAGGAGGAGGGACAUCUGUUUGCCUUCUGAACUUCAAGGUCAGCAGAGGAACGACCACCAGCUGCUCCAAAUGCACACUUACAAGUGAUGGCUCUUCCAUCAUUUGUCUCCAGCUCUCCUCCAGAAGAGUUCAGGAUCAAUCAUUCAACUGCAAUGUCACCAGGUCAAUAAAUUGGCAAAGACAGAAAUCUAAAAAUGCAUCCAUAAUAAGCAGAUUGAUGUUAGACCUACAGGAUUGUUAUUCAAAUGCAAUCAUUUUCUUGGGCCUACAGCAUCUGUUUCCAACUGUAGGACAAUGGAUUGGCAAAACAUCAGCUCCUUAUAGGAGAGAUCAAGGGGAUAAAUCAGAAAACCUGAAACAGCUGUAUUUUGUUGUAACAGGAAGCAGUUGUGCCUCAGAUAAGAUGAAGAUCCAUGCAUUUUCAAAGAGCUGAACAGGGCUUUAGGUAAUAAUUUUCAUGCUGUUAAGGAAAUCAUAAUCAUAGAAGUUCAGAGAUUCAAAAAAAAUCAGAGAUCUUUUAAGUUCAUUCCAAGCCAACAAAAUAUUUAUCCCCAUAUCAUAUUUUCUAGUCCUUUUUCAUAAUGGUUGGAGAAGGUGUUAUCCUGAUGGCUUGGCUUCUUUUAAAAAAGCACAGAAGUUCGAUAGCUAUAACCAAGGAUUCUGGUUUUCCCUGAUUAAAAAAAAAAAAUCACAAAUUCUCUGAUAAAAAUGGCAAAUUCUCUGAUAAAACCCCCCAAAUCUGUGAUUAAAAUGAAACAACCCCCAGCUCUGCUCAUGCUCCUUACUCCCCCCACAUCUCUCCCAGCCCUUCUGAACCAAGGUAACUUUAACCCAAAUCAGCAUAUAUUUACUCUUGAAGGAAUCAGGAAUGCAGAGGUGACACAUAGGGGGCAUACGGGGGUGCACGUGCACCCUCUGAGAGUGCCAGUGCACCCCCGUCAGGCUGCGCUCCCUGUGCAGCCGGCGAGCAGGGGGGCAGGUGGGAGCACUAAUGCCCCCCUGUGAGCACCAGCCGGGGAGCGGGGCUGCCAGCAAAAGCAACCCUGCUGCUUCUGGAAGUGGCCGUGGAGCUCCAGAAGUGGUGCAGCUGCUUUUACAGUAAGUGAGAUCGGCACCUCAAUGGCCAGCAGAAUUGGCCGCUGGGCCCCAGCCCUCCUUCCCCCCAUCCCCAGCCAGCGGGAUCGGCUGCCAGGGCACACCCCCUCACCCCCCCCGGUCGCUGACUGGUGUCAGGGUGGGGGCACAUGUCCCCCCUAACUCAAGAGGCACCAGACACCCAUGAAGGAAUGAACCUUUCCUGUUUUAAGUUUUAUCAGCUUAUGAGUCAUUUACUUGUAUCUGCCCAGGGUGGAAAUUUGCUAAAGGUAAAAAUACUCCCACUUUCUCCCCUGGCACCUAGGGCCAAAGCUCAUUAAAGGCCACAGGUGCUCCCA
rnacentral:lncRNA from 1 species